AGGCAGGGGGAAGCACGGGGCUGCUGAUGGACCUGGCCGCCAACGAGAAAGCGGUGCACGCCGACUUCUUCAACGAUUUUGAAGAUCUCUUUGAUGAUGAUGACAUCCAGUGAACUUAGUCUUCCAGCUAUGCCGUGCUGAGAUGUGGAGUUCUGCUCUAGGAUCACCUGUGGUGUCCAUUACAUACUAAAAUAAUAAAAAUGGAAAAACCACAGAGGAAAAAGAAACAUGUAAGCUUCUUGGGAACCUGAAAACCACAUAGAUAAAGAUAACUCUGAAAGGAAUUGUGGACUACCGUCUCUAGGAAGCCGUGUAGGUGUGGGAUUAUUUCUUGUCGUGUGGUGGGUUUUUGUGUUUUUUUUUUUUUUUUAGUUCUACUUGCUGAUGUGUUCAUUUAAUAAAAUCUUGACAAAAUCUCCUUCUGGCAUAUAUUUUGAAAGAAGCAGAUAUUGCUGUGUUCUGAACUUCCAUACAGAACUGCUAUUUUUAUGAAAUCAUUCACUGAUUCUUUUAGAUAGUAUACAAAGAUACCUGGCAAGGCAUGUUACUGCUUAGAAAAGUCUUGUUCAUCCCACGAUAUAGGAUCAUGUAGGAUUAAGAUUGUUCCUUGUUCUGAGUAGAGUCUACGAUGCAUAUGUUUACAAGUAGCGCUAAGAUGAUGGUGCGUUUUCUCCAAUCUCAAGUUUGAUACUCAGCUACUCUAGAUACUCCAGCUGUAAUCUAGGAAGCACAGGAAUAAAAUGUAGUAACUUGCAUCCUGUUUUAAGGAGGAAAAAAUGUUAUCGCCCUGGACCAUGGAACUCCUUGGAUUUAAACAUCUAGUUUAGUUGUUGAAAUUAAUUCUUUUCCUCAUUCUACGGAGUAUGUAUUCUAGGAUUCUUUUCUCAGACAGCAGGUAAUGUAAUGGUGUUACUGUUCAGACGUACAGUGUAUAUGAGUCUUUUUAUCAGAUGAAUUUUGUUGUGCCGACUUUGACACGGGGCUUCAUUUGUAGAAGAGAAGCAAAUGUGCUUGACAUCGCACCCUUCAGUGACCAAAGUGACUCUCAGAAUGAAAGGAACAGGGGAGUUCUCAAUAUUUUGUUUCAGACUCAGGAACUUUAUCCUGUCUUGUCUUAAAUUAGCAUUAUGUUCCAUACCGUUCCAUCAGAGAAGUCAUCCUUAUGACUGCUCUUUCUUAGGAUCUGUAUCUGAAGUCCAAGGUUGCCCUUUGUAAGGAGAUAGCGUAUCUAAAUGUAGUUGACCGUGGUUUAUCAGACUUAGCCCACUGAGUUUGUCCUUACUUGAGUACAGUAUAUGAAUUACUCAGAAAUUCAGGUAAUCCUUAAAUAAUAUAAGUCAUCAGCAAGUUUAAAUAAUUCUUAGAUCCUCCUUUUCCAUAAGAAAAACUUUGUCAGUGCUAGCUUUAGCUCCUUAUCUGAAUUUUGUAUGGCAUUUGAUGAGGGAAAGAAAGGAAGGGGGAAGGUUAUACAGUGAAGCUUUUAACCUUCGUUUCCUCUUUAGUUUGACUUCUGCUUAGAUUAUACCCUUUCAAACCAUUUAAUGCUUCACACUUCUUCAGACACCUAUCAGCACUCUAGGCAAAACUGUACUAAACAAUACGAAAAAUCCAAAAUGAAACCUUCCCUCCCACACCUUUUUCACAAACUUUCUUUGCUUGUUCUUUUGUCUUAAAGCUUUGCAUCCCCUUUUUUAAUCUUAAAUGUAACAGUAAGUAUACUGACCUCUAGACUUAAAAAUGUAAACAUGAAAAAACUGUAGUUGUCUUGCUGUGCUUUGUGUAGCAGAAUUGCGUUGUUACACAGUAAGUCUUUUUACUGUGUUCCUGUGGAUUUCUUAAUAUCCCUUGUUUCAUCAUUCAGAUGAUAUUAAAGCAGCAUUCUGACACUGACUCUGUGUGUGUGUGAAAUUACAGCGUGUCCCUCCAGAAUAAUGUUGCUGAUGCAGUCUCCUUUUCCUUUUUAGUGCACGCUUGCUUGAAGAGGAGGAGUUAAGCUUUCCACAUCAAAAGCAAUGUGAACUUUUUCGUUGCUGAGUGGUAGCAGCUUCACUUGGACUGUUUUAGUUUUGAACCUUGAAAUUAGAUUUGGAGAAACGAGCUGUUACCGGUAAACAGAGGCUGGAGCAGGCACCAAAGAUGAAAAUUUUAACUAGGAAACAAAUGCUGCCUCUUCUUUUUCAGCUGCUUGCUUUCGUUGGUGCCCUGUUUCUUCAAGAUAGCGACUGUUUUUGUUUUGAAACACUUCCUUGUCCCAGUGUAACGUAUAGUUCUACUUUAUUUUUCAUUUAUGUUCAUUAAGCCAUUAGAAGCCUGAGCCUUAAGUUUUCUCACAGCAGCCAGAGUAUAUUCCAUUAUAUCAAUCCAUCCUGCAUAGUUGAUCUUCAUACAUGAGUAAUUUUUCAGUCUGCUCCGUCUUCUUUUUAGAGACAUUCAGAACUUCAGCAAAGAACUGGUGUGAAGGUGCUAAUGCUAGUUUUGCUUGAUCAAAACAUGGAACCUAUCUUUAUGAAACUGAGUAGAGUGCUAGUAAUCCUUGUGGGUCCAGUGCAGUCUAAACUAAAGAGUUUUCAUUCCUCAUAGGUUUUUGUAUCUACAGCUAACUCCUUACUUCUUUGUUCCUUCUGCCUCCAGAAUCUCAGUCUGUCGCACUAAAAGCAUAAGAAGUACUGCUGGUGCUUGGGAAGUGGUGUGUAUGCUGCCUGUAGGGAAGGAACUUACUCUGCACCAUGUGUUAAAGUUUUGGCACGAAGCAAAACGAGUGUGAACAUUCUUCAAAGUUGGAACAGCAUGAUAGCUGGGUUUGGCCGAAGCACCGGCAGUCAUUGCAAUACCAGAAAGCACGUGCAGGGUAUGCCGCGAGCACCACCGCUGACUCUUUCCUCAAAGUAUGAGUUUUGUGUUUCUAGCUGUCUUUAUACACUAAAGCGUGCCCUCUUUUGCAGUUAGAAUGAGUGAAUGGAGUGUGUGUGUAUCAUUUCCAUUUUCUAAAAAAGAUUGUACAUACGUAAGAAUUUUCAUUAGGAACUGUAGUUUGUUUGGGGACAGUAUUAAAAUGGGAUGGCCAGUCUGAAGAACAAUGCCCUUGAGUGUCGAAUUGCUUCUAAAUUGCCAUUUGUCAAGUCUUUCGGUCUAAUUAGUCUGCAGGCAAUUACAAUCAGCCUGUUGUCCGGGAAUAAUUGCAAGGUGUUAAAAUCUGUAAUAAAACUU